AGACAUUUCUUCAUCUUUCUCAGCCAGAAACGUCGUAGCAGGUCUCUUAUGCUGGUUUUUCAUAUUUUUUCACCAUUUUUGACAAGCCAGCUCGGAAAUCAGGAACGGUCGGAGGCUCGCUCAUAUUAUCCGUGUAUCAUCUUGGCAUAACGGCUUGUAUAUUUUGAGCAUGGCAUGUAUAGCAUUAUAAUCAUUUUGUAUAUAUAGUCUUAUGACAUGGUUAUUGAGUGGUAUGGAAAUGCUUGAUAAUGAUUAGCUGUUGGAAUGGCUAAUCAAGGACAUAUUUGGUGUUAUGUAUGCCUAAAUGCUAAUUAUUCCAUGGAAAUCAUGAAAUAGGUAAAAUUUACCAUAAAA